rnacentral:lncRNA from 1 species
CUGCAGGAUCCCAUCCAGGGACGGAAGAUAUAUCCCCUUCUCGGCUAGAGAGGUACGCAGCCACCUCGUCCGCCACUGCGUCGACAUCCCCUCCGUAACGCAGGAAUGAUUCUUGUUGUUGCUCCCCCUCAGCCUCCUCCAACAGCUCCAAUAAACGGUCAUUGAUCGGGCCGGAAUCACCAAGGAGAGUGCGAGCGUCAUCCAGGAGGCGGGUGGCUUCACGGCGCGAAAGCUUAUUGGUUAUAACCUUCCGGAUACGGGUGCAGCAUCCGGUUAUCUUCUGACGCAGUACCUUCUGGCGCCCCCUGCAUUGGUCGAUGGUGAGCGCUGCGAUAUCUUCCGCCAUAAUGACAAAGGCUAGAAUAAGGCGAAGGAUCAGAGCUAGCAGCAACGUAGUGGAUGGUAGCGCUGCUCGUCGAUGGAGAAUCUUCGUCCACUGGGUUGCCUGCUUAACGGCAGGGUCUAAGUCAGUUGAAAAGAGGGUGCAAUAGAGUCCUGGAACACCGUCUGUCUAUAGCUGGACUCCCAACUUGGUUCUCGUCGAGUAGUCGGCUCUGCUUGACGGGCAAAGGAUUCUCUUGGCUGGAACUGGUCAGUUCCUUCCAACUUGGUUCUCGUUGGCUUGGUCGGGUCUGCUUAACGGCAGACAGUCUUUGUCAAGGAGCCACAGGGGCGGGUCAAUUCAACGCUGAGCAGCGUGGGAAGGUCUGCUUAACGGCAGGCCGAAGUCAAUUCAAUAAAUGCUGAAAGGUGUGGGCAGUUCUGCUUAACACCAGGAUGGAGUCACAUCAAAUGCUGAACAGCGUGAUUCAGAAACGUGCCGGUGCUCCGGUUCGAAGGACCAGAUGAUAGCUUGGUUGGUACUCGAGUAGUGGACUGUAUGGACCACGAGUAUAUUGUGUCAGUCUCGAUAAAACGAAGUCAUGAAUUCUGAUCAUCUAUCAUCAAUCUACAACAAAAGGAGUUAGACAGGGAUCAAGCAACACGUAACAAUGAAUAAUUACCUAGCAGAGCUAGCUUGGAUGAGGAAUAAAGAUUACGAUACAACUGGGUCACUCAACACAGUGGGUGAACACCAGGUCAGGAGGGCAAGAACCGUUAUCACAGCAACUGAAUGAGUACAUUAUUAGAUGCAAUAGACAAGGUAGCUCUAACACAUGUUUGACUAGUACCUUGCUUAAGGUUCCGUCUGUCAAGACCUCAACUCUAGUCAGACCUCAGUGCUAGUCAACUUCUAGUCACGUUUUCUUUUAUACAAUUCUAGUCAGGGCUAUACAAUUCUAGUCAGAGCUAUAAAGGAAACAAAGUUAUGACAUGUAAAACAAUUAGGCAGUGUUUGAACGGAAAUACCUGUGUCAAUUAAUCAAGAUGUCAGUAUAGCACUGGGAAAUCAGGAGAAGACACAGAAAAUGACACCUUUGAAAAGAGGAUGGGAGACAAUAGAGUGGCUAAGCAGCAACCGCUGGUGGCGCCACUACGGAAUUACAAAAUUAACAGAGCUAAACAGCAGUCGCCGAACCAAUAGUGACAUUUUGAAGGAACUUGUCACGAGAAAAGAACCUCAUGAGGACUAACGCAGCGAAUCAAGAGUCAAGACUGGAGGCAAUAGUUCGAACACGUGCGGAUAGAAAAGCUAAUGCACUCGACCCAAAAUGGCGUCGUUUUUGUAGGGAAGGGUUCGCAAUUCCAAGGCUACUGCCUUCCUUACCCAUCCUUUUCUUCUGCAGAAGAAAGAAAUCAAACACUUGAAUUCAGUGCUGCGCAAUGGUGGCCGCAACGUUAUCGUUUCGUCGAGUGAGAAAAUCAAGUGGUUGGAAAGAGUGUAUUAGUCAUUGAAAUAGCCAUUCUAUAACAGUGUCUCGACAGGAUAAUCAAAGAAAUGUUUGAGUGUUAAUUGUGUAUAUUGUAAAAGACGACUAAUAUACAAAAGUUUGGGAGGGUAAAGGCACGGUCGGAUUCAUAGGGUAAAAAAUGGGGGAAGGAUUAGUGAUAUAAAAUGUUUCAAAUUUACCGGAAGAUAUAUUUUUUAAAGAAAGAAA